AAAGGCCAGACAGGCUAGAAACUUGGUGCAAAGAAGCCAGCACAACUAGGUAUGAACAUAUCAACACUGAGGAACUUGGAAGAAGAAUGAGCAAAAGAUGCCCUCAGGGAAAUGUAUGAGAAGAGAAGAUGGGCGGGUCAUUUGUCAACAAAAGCAGUCACCUGACCCCAGGAUUAGAAGAAGCUUUCCCCUGUUUUGCCCUCUUGGCUUAAAGAUUACCAAUCACCUAAGAAUGAGACUCUUAGCCCCAAGUGCCAAGCUCUUUAGAACAAAGAAUCUUCUCACUUGGAAGAAGUCACCAUCACUAUGGCUACUACUAUGUAUCUAUUCCAGGUACACAAUUUCCUUAAGCCUGAUUCCUUGGGCUAAUGCCACCUCAUGCUACCCAUCCUUUGUCUGACCAACCAGGACUUUUUCCUGCUACAAUCCACUUUCCCUUUGAAACCUACUUAUCUGUGUCUCAAGUCCUUCAUCUGUUUUCCAAGGUGACA